CCUACGGGAGGCAGCAGUGAGGAAUAUUGGUCAAUGGGCGCGAGCCUGAACCAGCCAAGUAGCGUGAAGGAUGACUGCCCUACGGGUUGUAAACUUCUUUUAUAAAGGAAUAAAGUGAGGCACGUGUGCCUGUUUGUAUGUACUUUAUGAAUAAGGAUCGGCUAACUCCGUGCCAGCAGCCGCGGUAAUACGGAGGAUGCGAGCGUUAUCCGGAUUUAUUGGGUUUAAAGGGUGCGCAGGCGGAAUGUCAAGUCAGCGGUAAAAUUUCGGGGCUCAACCCCGUCGUGCCGUUGAAACUGGCGUUCUUGAGUGAGCGAGAAGUAUGCGGAAUGCGUGGUGUAGCGGUGAAAUGCAUAGAUAUCACGCAGAACUCCGAUUGCGAAGGCAGCAUACCGGCGCUCAACUGACGCUCAUGCACGAAAGCGUGGGUAUCGAACAGGAUUAGAUACCCGUGUAGUC
rnacentral:rRNA from 1 species